UGAGGAAUAUUGCACAAUGGACGCAAGUCUGAUGCAGCAACGCCGCGUGGAGGAUGAAGGUCUUCGGAUUGUAAACUCCUUUUCCCAGGGAAGAGAAUGGACGGUACCUGGGGAAUAAGUCACGGCUAACUACGUGCCAGCAGCCGCGGUAAUACGUAGGUGGCAAGCGUUAUCCGGAAUUACUGGGCGUAAAGCGCACGCAGGCGGUUUCUUAAGUUUGACGUGAAAGUUCCUGGCUUAACUGGGAGAGGUCGUUGAAGACUGGGAAGCUUGAGGCAAUGAGAGGGAUGUAGAAUUCACGGUGUAGUGGUGGAAUGCGUAGAUAUCGUGAGGAAUACCAGUGGCGAAAGCGGCAUCCUGGCAUUAGCCUGACGCUCAUGUGCGAAAGCGUGGGGAGCGAACGGGAUUAGAUACCCCGGUAGUCCACGCUGUAAACGAUGAACACUAGGUGUAGGUGGUGUGAAGCUAUCUGUG
rnacentral:rRNA from 1 species